GUCGAACGGAAAGGCCCUUCGGGGUACUCGAGUGGCGAACGGGUGAGUAACACGUGGGUGAUCUGCCCUGCACUUUGGGAUAAGCCUGGGAAACUGGGUCUAAUACCGAAUAUGACCGCGCACUUCCUGGUGUGUGGUGGAAAGCUUUUGCGGUGUGGGAUGGGCCCGCGGCCUAUCAGCUUGUUGGUGGGGUAAUGGCCUACCAAGGCGACGACGGGUAGCCGGCCUGAGAGGGUGACCGGCCACACUGGGACUGAGAUACGGCCCAGACUCCUACGGGAGGCAGCAGUGGGGAAUAUUGCACAAUGGGCGCAAGCCUGAUGCAGCGACGCCGCGUGAGGGAUGACGGCCUUCGGGUUGUAAACCUCUUUCAAUAGGGACGAAGCGCAAGUGACGGUACCUAUAGAAGAAGGACCGGCCAACUACGUGCCAGCAGCCGCGGUAAUACGUAGGGUCCGAGCGUUGUCCGGAAUUACUGGGCGUAAAGAGCUCGUAGGUGGUUUGUCGCGUUGUUCGUGAAAACUCACAGCUUAACUGUGGGCGUGCGGGCGAUACGGGCAGACUAGAGUACUGCAGGGGAGACUGGAAUUCCUGGUGUAGCGGUGGAAUGCGCAGAUAUCAGGAGGAACACCGGUGGCGAAGGCGGGUCUCUGGGCAGUAACUGACGCUGAGGAGCGAAAGCGUGGGGAGCGAACAGGAUUAGAUACCCUGGUAGUCCACGCCGUAAACGGUGGGUACUAGGUGUGGGUUUCCUUCCUUGGGAUCCGUGCCGUAGCUAACGCAUUAAGUACCCCGCCUGGGGAGUACGGCCGCAAGGCUAAAACUCAAAGAAAUUGACGGGGGCCCGCACAAGCGGCGGAGCAUGUGGAUUAAUUCGAUGCAACGCGAAGAACCUUACCUGGGUUUGACAUGCACAGGACGCCAGUAGAGAUAUUGGUUCCCUUGUGGCCUGUGUGCAGGUGGUGCAUGGCUGUCGUCAGCUCGUGUCGUGAGAUGUUGGGUUAAGUCCCGCAACGAGCGCAACCCUUGUCUCAUGUUGCCAGCACGUAAUGGUGGGGACUCGUGAGAGACUGCCGGG
rnacentral:rRNA from 1 species